rnacentral:rRNA from 1 species
AUUGAACGCUGGCGGCAGGCCUAACACAUGCAAGUCGAACGAGUGGCGGACGUGUGAGUAAUGUCUGGGAAACUGCCCGAUGGAGGGGGAUAACUACUGGAAACGGUAGCUAAUACCGCAUACCAUCGGAUGUGCCCAGAUGGGAUUAGCUAGUAGGUGGGGUAAGGGCUCACCUAGGCCACGAUCCCUAGCUGGUCUGAGAGGAUGACAGGACACAUGGGAACUGAGACACGGGCCACACCCCUACGGGGGGCAGGAGGGGGGAAUAUGGCACAAUGGGGGCAAGCCUGAUGCAGCCGUGCCGCGUGUAUGAAGAGGCCGUCGGGUUGUAAAGUACUUUCAGCGAGGAGGCGUUACUCGCAGAAGAAGCACCGGCUAACUACGUGCCAGCAGCCGCGGUAAUUC